rnacentral:tRNA from 1 species
GCGCGCAUAGCUCAGUUGGAUAGAGUGUUGGCCUCCGAAGCCAAAGGUCGCAGGUUCGAAUCCUGCUGCGCGUACUA